GCCAGGCAUGAUGGCUCAUGCCUGUAAUCCUAGCACUUUGGGAGGCUGAGGCAGGUGGAUCACCUGAGGUCAGGAGUUCAAGACCAGCCUGACCAACAUGGUGACACCCUGUCUCUA
rnacentral:SRP_RNA from 2 species